UACGGAAGAAGUAGUUGUGGUAACCACAUGGAAACGGAUGACGACCAUGGUACGGAAGAUGACAACGUUCUUCGGGCACGCCGCGUGGUACCUCCCUAGAGUAACUCCAGAGUUGUCUACCGGGAGGAGGUGACCUUUAGAUGCGAGCGUUCGGGUGGCGACGUCUACUCGAGAACCGUCCUUUUGUGGUCGGGUACGUUGACCUGUCCGUAGUACACGUGCCGACAAGCGGUACCCGUGGACUCCGGGACCCACCACUGGUUGUAGAGGUACGGCCUACGACCGUAGGCACCGGUCGAACCACUCGAGUUGAAGAGCCGAGAAGGUAAGGAGUGUAUAUAGCUGGAAGUAUUGUUGUCAGAGGUACCACGUGACGGUCGAUCAUAGUCGAGAGAUAGGCGUGAAAGCCAUGAAAUGGAAGUGAUGUUGGUCAAAUGCCCCUUUUAAGGAAUACUCUAACCACUGGACGUCUCAGAGUGGGUCGAAUCGGAGCGUAAAUCAUCUGAGUCUCCUGUAUAGGGACGCAGAGACCCGUUGGAUUGUUACAAUUGAUUAGAAGAGUAAGUGGUUUGUUACAAUAGUCCAGGUUAAGGACUCCUCUAACCUUCCGAACAGUUGGAUGUUUGAGAUGUUGAUUCGUUGUUGUGGAAUUGGUUGUACUAUGGUUUUUGGGAACCUUUAGACUCGGUUGAUCUAUGAAACGCGGAUAAACCAUUGGUUAAAAGUCCCGGAUAUGGGGUCCUCGAACCGUCCGAUCAGUUAAACGUUUCAGAAGUCGAACCAUAAUUACUAAAAAGUCCAGGUUAAGGUUAGAGGUAUUGGUUAGAGUGUUUCGACUUGGUAGAAAAAGAUAAACUGUUAGUUUAGAGACCAGGUUAUGGGGGUCUUUAUCCGUUCGAGUGAUACAAUUUGGUUGAACCAGAGAUAGAUUUAGUUUAUUGUCCAAGCUAUGGGGGUCUUGAUGCGUUCGAGCGAUACGAUUUGGAAGAAAUAGAGGUACUUUUAGUUUAGUGUCCAACGUAAGGGGUUCUUUAACCGUUAGACUACUUCGAACUUUAAGAUCGGAAGAUAGUCUUGGUUUAAAAUCCCAGUUAUGGUUUUUGAAAACCCUUCGACGUUUCGUAAGCUCACAAGCAGUGGAUACCGGAAUUCUAGCUAUCUUUACCACUUGUUGGAAGUCCAGGGCCCUUAGAUGAGUUCCGACGUCUGUGAAGAACAGAGUGAAGAAAAUAGUAGCUACCACAUAAACUCGAGCCCUCGUCUCUGAGGUGCAGGACU
rnacentral:rRNA from 1 species